AGAGUUUGAUCCUGGCUCAGAGCGAACGCUGGCGGCAGGCUUAACACAUGCAAGUCGAACGGGCGUAGCAAUACGUCAGUGGCAGACGGGUGAGUAACGCGUGGGAACGUACCUUUUGGUUCGGAACAACACAGGGAAACUUGUGCUAAUACCGGAUAAGCCCUUACGGGGAAAGAUUUAUCGCCGAAAGAUCGGCCCGCGUCUGAUUAGCUUGUUGGUGAGGUAACGGCUCACCAAGGCGACGAUCAGUAGCUGGUCUGAGAGGAUGAUCAGCCACAUUGGGACUGAGACACGGCCCAAACUCCUACGGGAGGCAGCAGUGGGGAAUAUUGGACAAUGGGCGAAAGCCUGAUCCAGCCAUGCCGCGUGAGUGAUGAAGGCCCUAGGGUUGUAAAGCUCUUUUGUGCGGGAAGAUAAUGACGGUACCGCAAGAAUAAGCCCCGGCUAACUUCGUGCCAGCCGCCGCGGUAAUAC
rnacentral:rRNA from 1 species